rnacentral:rRNA from 1 species
UACGGGAGGCAGCAGUGGGGAAUAUUGGGCAAUGGGGGGAACCCUGACCCAGCAACGCCGCGUGAGGGAAGAAGGUUUUCGGAUCGUAAACCUCUGUCCUUGGUGAAGAGGAAGAGACGGUAGCCAAGGAGGAAGCCCCGGCUAACUACGUGCCAGCAGCCGCGGUAAU